AAGCCUGUUGCAGCGACGCCGCGUGAGGGAUGGAGGCCUUCGGGUUGUAAACCUCUUUCGCCAGUGAAGCAGGCCUGUCCCUUUUGUGGGUGGGUUGACGGUAGCUGAAUAAGAAGCGCCGGCUAACUACGUGCCAGCAGCCGCGGUAAUACGUAGGGCGCGAGCGUUGUCCGGAAUUAUUGGGCGUAAAGAGCUCGCAGGCGGCUGGUCGCGUCUGUCGUGAAAUCCUCUGGCUUAACUGGGGGCUUGCGGUGGGUACGGGCCGGCUUGAGUGCGGUAGGGGAGACUGGAACUCCUGGUGUAGCGGUGGAAUGCGCAGAUAUCAGGAGGAACACCGGUGGCGAAGGCGGGUCUCUGGGCCGUUACUGACGCUGAGGAGCGAAAGCGUGGGGAGCGAACAGGAUUAGAUACCCUGGUAGUCCACGCCGUAAACGUUGGGCACUAGGUGUGGGGGGCCUUUUCCGGGUCUUCCGCGCCGUAGCUAACGCAUUAAGUGCCCCGCCUGGGGAGUACGGCCGCAAGGCUAAAACUCAAAGGAAUUGACGGGGGCCCGCACAAGCGGCGGAGCAUGCGGAUUAAUUCGAUGCAACGCGAAGAACCUUACCAAGGCUUGACAUGUGCCGGUCGGCUCCGGAGACGGGGGUUUCCUCC
rnacentral:rRNA from 1 species